CGGCAAUAAGAGCUGCUAAGUCUGCACUGAGUGAUUUGAACUUUGGACUCCACUCACUUGAGCCUGGAUGCUGCUCAGCUGACCCACCGACAAUGACAUUUGUGAGAAGCAGAAUCUCUCCAGUUCCACUCUAGCUUCAACUGCUGAUGUGGACGAAGAAAGAGUCAUUGGCAGGCCUCCUGAACGUCACAUGACAGCUUCGUGUGAGUGCUGCUUAUCUUCCGCUCCAAUGUGGUCUGAUCAUCAAGCUGCUGAGAACCUUUUCCACAAGGCCCGGCACAUUUUCCUGCAGAUCAUUGGGGAGGAGCGCUAAUCAUAAGUGACACCGAAAGCAGGACUGCAGACGUGACGCUAAUCUCAGUGGAAGUUAGAAGCGUUUCUCAGCCUCUCAGCGUUUUUCAGCCUCCAAGAUGAAAAUGCUACAACUGAAAAUGCGGGAAAGGUUACAAUGUGACACCUAAUUUUCACCAACACUAUGAACAGAAUAUACCAUAUAAAGAAAAAAAAGACAUUUCAACCACUGUAAAUGAAAUCCGAUUCUAAUGAAGUCAGUAAAAUUGCUCUCGGGCUUGAUUGUGCAUGCUCUCUUUUCUGCUGACAGCAUUAGUUGAUCAGAGGGACAUCUUGAUCAAGUGCCAACAGCUUGUUUAGCAACAAAGCUGCCUUCACGCAUGUCUGAAGCCAUGUAAGCAGUAUAAUUACUGAGGAUAUGUAUGGGAGGUGAGUGGGGUGGGGGGUGAACUGUACCCGAGUCAACAGCAGCAGUGCUGGAGGUCACAGUUAUGCAACAGC